UUUUACUUCUUUUGUGAAAUGGAGACCACUUACUACGGUUUGUUGAUGACUUCUCCACUAACUAGAAUGUUUUGUUUCGCAGCCUUCCGCCCUAUUCUGCUGCUGAUUUCUUGUUGAUGAGUGCUGUUUGGAUCCAGCCAUCCUAUUUCUCUGCUGAUAUCACUCUGAUCCAUCUUGAAGUAUCUGCUCCAUCGGCACACCCUUCCCUGUCCACGCUGUCGCCUUCGCUGACGUCUUCUUGGCAGCGAUCGGCAGGAGGGAUACUUCUUUGCGGACGGCUCGCGCGUGGAUCGAAAGGCCGGCACCGGUUCUUAGACUCUGGACAAAAAGCAAGAACUAGUCAACAAAACCGUCGCCGGGCGCGAGAUGGUGGUGAGGUGAAAGAGCAUCAAUGACUACCGACAGAAGAACUCCGGGUGGACGAUGUACGAAUACGAGAUGUGUUCUUCCGGCUUAUUUGACAUUUGUUUUGACGGUGGUGCCGUCGGAGGUGGCCUGAUGCAAGAUCUUCAGAGAACUCGUCUCUCGAAACCGGGAAGAACACAUCUCAUCUCGUCUAUCGUCCACCCUCUUUCGCCGGCCGUCGUUAAAGGAAAGUCAGCUCUUUCGUCCCACCCACGAUCUCGCACCCAUUCGUAAAAGGAAAGCCGACCGAUUUCUUGCUUUUUUACAGAGUGGAAGAACCCAUUCGUAACCUUAGGGUUUGAAAAACCUAUGAGGCUCGGUUCUUCCGGGGCCGAGAUGGGCUGCCGGGAUGGACUCGACCCAAGUUCUUGCUUUUUGAACGUGGACUCAACCGUUUUGAUAGAACCGGUUCCGGCCUUUCGCUAUUCUCGGGCUUACGCUCCACAAAGAAUCCCUCUUGCCGAUCGCUGCCAAGAAGAUUCCACGGCUCGGUGCCGUAGAUGUUGGUGAAGGCGAAAGCGCGGCCAGGGAAGGAGGGGAUUGUCGGCGACCUAGUUGGUGAGGUAGUCGACCACGAGUUCCUUCCCACGAC
rnacentral:lncRNA from 1 species